rnacentral:rRNA from 1 species
ACCCGCUGAACUUAAGCAUAUCAAUAAGCGGAGGAAAAGAAACCAACAGGGAUUGCCCUAGUAACGGCGAGUGAAGCGGCAACAGCUCAAAUUUGAAAUCUGGCGUCUUUGGCGUCCGAGUUGUAAUUUGCAGAGGGCGCUUUGGCAUUGGCAGCGGUCCAAGUUCCUUGGAACAGGACGUCACAGAGGGUGAGAAUCCCGUACGUGGUCGCUAGCCUUUACCGUGUAAAGCCCCUUCGACGAGUCGAGUUGUUUGGGAAUGCAGCUCUAAAUGGGAGGUAAAUUUCUUCUAAAGCUAAAUACUGGCCAGAGACCGAUAGCGCACAAGUAGAGUGAUCGAAAGAUGAAAAGCACUUUGGAAAGAGAGUUAAAAAGCACGUGAAAUUGUUGAAAGGGAAGCGCUUGCAAUCAGACUUGUCCCUGACUGUUCGGCCGGUCUUCUGACCGGUUUACUCAGUCUGGGACAGGCCAGCAUCGGUUUCGGCGGUCGGAUAAAGGCCCUGGGAAUGUGGCUCUGCCUUCGGGGAGAGUGUUAUAGCCCAGGGUGUAAUACGGCCAGCCGGGACCGAGGUCCGCGAUUCGUCUAGGAUGCUGGCGUAAUGGUUGU